rnacentral:rRNA from 1 species
AGAGUUCGAUCCUGGCUCAGGAUGAACGCUGGCGGCGCGCCUAACACAUGCAAGUCGAACGGCACCCCUCUCCGGAGGGAAGCGAGUGGCGAACGGCUGAGUAACACGUGGAGAACCUGCCCCCUCCCCCGGGAUAGCCGCCCGAAAGGACGGGUAAUACCGGAUACCCCGGGGUGCCGCAUGGCACCCCGGCUAAAGCCCCGACGGGAGGGGAUGGCUCCGCGGCCCAUCAGGUAGACGGCGGGGUGACGGCCCACCGUGCCGACAACGGGUAGCCGGGUUGAGAGACCGACCGGCCAGAUUGGGACUGAGACACGGCCCAGACUCCUACGGGAGGCAGCAGUGGGGAAUCUUGCGCAAUGGGGGGAACCCUGACGCAGCGACGCCGCGUGCGGGACGGAGGCCUUCGGGUCGUAAACCGCUUUCAGCAGGGAAGAGUCAAGACUGUACCUGCAGAAGAAGCCCCGGCUAACUACGUGCCAGCAGCCGCGGUAAUACGUAGGGGGCGAGCGUUAUCCGGAUUCAUUGGGCGUAAAGCGCGCGUAGGCGGCCCGGCAGGCCGGGGGUCGAAGCGGGGGGCUCAACCCCCCGAAGCCCCCGGAACCUCCGCGGCUUGGGUCCGGUAGGGGAGGGUGGAACACCCGGUGUAGCGGUGGAAUGCGCAGAUAUCGGGUGGAACACCGGUGGCGAAGGCGGCCCUCUGGGCCGAGACCGACGCUGAGGCGCGAAAGCUGGGGGAGCGAACAGGAUUAGAUACCCUGGUAGUCCCAGCCGUAAACGAUGGGCGCUAGGUGUGGGGGGACGAUCCCCCCGUGCCGCAGCCAACGCAUUAAGCGUCCCGCCUGGGGAGUACGGCCGCAAGGCUAAAACUCAAAGGAAUUGACGGGGGCCCGCACAAGCAGCGGAGCAUGUGGCUUAAUUCGAAGCAACGCGAAGAACCUUACCAGGGCUUGACAUAUGGGUGAAGCGGGGGAGACCCCGUGGCCGAGAGGAGCC